GAUGAACGCUGGCGGCGUGCCUAAUACAUGCAAGUCGAGCGAACAGACGAGGAUCUUGCUCCUCUCACGUUAGCGGCGGACGGGUGAGACACACGUGUAUACCCUACCUAUCAGACUGGUAUAACUUCGGGAAACCGGAUCUAAUCCCGGAUAAUAUCCUGCACCGCAUGGUUCGAUAGUGAAAGACGGUUUUGCUGGCUCUUCUAGAUGCAUCCGGGCCGCAUUAGCGAGUUGUGAGGGUCACGGCUUACCAAGGCAACGAUGCGUAGCCGAACUGAGAGGGUGAUCGGCCACACUGGAGGUGAGACGCGGACCAGAGGCCUGCGGGACGGCGCAGUAGGGAAUGUGCCGCAAUAGGGGGAAGCUUGACGGAGCAACGGCGCGCGAGAGAUGGAGGUGCUCGGAGCGUGAAACUGUGUUAUUAGGUGAGAACAAAUGUGUAAGGAGAUAAGGAGGUAUUGACGGUACCUAGUCAGAAAGCCCCGGCUAACUACGUG
rnacentral:rRNA from 1 species